GUAAGGGUGAUAUGGCUGUGACAUCUCUUGCCCUACUGUUUGCCGGAGUUGAUUCACUCAUCUGGCUAGGUAGGUAAGGUACCUCUUCACCACUGCAUGUGUGUUCCUUCCAAAGCUGUGCUUGGUCAGAGAGGAUGACCUUCCCCAAUGGGAGAUGACCAUUCUUUGGCCAAGGGUCUGUGAGUAGCUGUGCUUCUUUGCUAGACCCUCUACACAAGCUCCGAAGAGAUGGCUUAGAGGGGUAGAUAGGGAGCUGGGCCAGUGGUUAAAGGCACUUGCUUGCAAAGCCUGUUGGCCUGGGUUCAAU
rnacentral:snRNA from 1 species